ensembl:snoRNA SNORD33 Small nucleolar RNA Z195/SNORD33/SNORD32 family
GUUGUCAGUGAUGUUUUUACACUUAUUUUCGAGUUUAAUUGACCAUGAGAAUACUCUCACAUGCACUACCAUCUGAGACAUC